AGUGGGGAAUCUUGCGCAAUGGCCGAAAGGCUGACGCAGCGACGCCGCGUGUGGGAUGACGGCCUUCGGGUUGUAAACCACUGUCGGGAGGGACGAAGCUCUGACGGUACCUCCAAAGGAAGCACCGGCUAACUCUGUGCCAGCAGCCGCGGUAAUACAGAGGGUGCGAGCGUUGUCCGGAAUCACUGGGCGUAAAGGGCGCGUAGGCGGCCUGGUAAGUCGGGGGUGAAACGCUGCGGCUCAACCGCAGCACUGCCUUCGAGACUGUCAGGCUUGAGCACGGUAGAGGCUGGUGGAAUUCCCGGUGUAGCGGUGGAAUGCGUAGAGAUCGGGAAGAACAUCGGUGGCGAAGGCGGCCAGCUGGGCCGUUGCUGACGCUGAGGCGCGACAGCGUGGGGAGCAAA
rnacentral:rRNA from 1 species